AACGAACGCUGGCGGCAGGCUUAACACAUGCAAGUCGAACGCUCGGAGCGAUCCGGGAGUGGCGGACGGGUGAGUAACGCGUGGGAACGUGCCCUGAGGUUGGGAAUAACUGCGGGAAACUGCAGCUAAUACCUGAUGAGCCCGAGCAAUCGGGGAAAGAUUUAUCGCCUUGGGAGCGGCCCGCGUCGGAUUAGCUAGUUGGUGGGGUAACGCCUACCAAGGCUUCGAUCCGUAGCUGGUCUGAGAGGACGAUCAGCCACACUGGGACUGAGACACGGCCCAGACUCCUACGGGAGGCAGCAGUGGGGAAUCUUGCGCAAUGGGGGGCAACCCUGACGCAGCCAUGCCGCGUGAAUGAUGAAGGCCUUAGGGUUGUAAAGUUCUUUUGCCCGUGACGAUGAUGACGGUAACGGGAGAAUAAGCUCCGGCUAACUUCGUG
rnacentral:rRNA from 1 species